rnacentral:rRNA from 1 species
UAGGGAAUCUUCCGCAAUGGACGCAAGUCUGACGGAGCAACGCCGCGUGAGUGAAGAAGGAUUUCGGUUCGUAAAACUCUGUUGUUAGAGAAGAACAGCGCAUAGAGUAACUGUUAUGCGUGUGACGGUAUCUAACCAGAAAGCCACGGCUAACUACGUGCCAGCAGCCGCGGUAAUACGUAGGUGGCAAGCGUUGUCCGGAUUUAUUGGGCGUAAAGCGAGCGCAGGCGGUCAAUUAAGUCUGAUGUGAAAGCCCCCGGCUCAACCGGGGAGGGUCAUUGGAAACUGGUUGGCUUGAGUGCAGAAGAGGGGAGUGGAAUUCCAUGUGUAGCGGUGAAAUGCGUAGAUAUAUGGAGGAACACCAGUGGCGAAGGCGACUCUCUGGUCUGUAACUGACGCUGAGGUUCGAAAGCGUGGGUAGCAAACAGG